UCUUGGGUUUCAGAAAGGCCGAUGGCCCCAAAACUGGGAAGAGGUCAUGGGCUCAAGAGGGAAGGAAAAGCAGAGAUCAGACAGUCAGACAGUCUGAACGCGUACCGAACAACUUAUCAGAUGUACAAAGAGUAGGGAAUGUUUAUGAAAAACAAGCCCCCACGUCUCGCUCGUUCCUAUCCCCAGAUCAGAGCCUUGUUUCUGAGUCAGAGCUGAAAAUCAGCCUUUGGAAGUGUUAUUGCUCACCAGGGGCAUGUACUAGGAUGAUACAGCAACAUUACUUUUGAGCUCUGUGGCAUUGUGACCUCAUCUGGCUUAGAGGAAUCUCGGAAAGACUCAUUUGUGGCUUUAAGUAGUGACCAAAUUGGCUAAAAGUCCCAAAGAUAAAACAUGUUUGACAUGUUGCUUCAGGAGGAAGUUUGGAACACUUGGUGAACUUCUUGAGAAAUAAGUAAGUGGGCACCCACAAGAUACUACAAGCUAUUGGAGGCGUUCAGUAUAUCAAAUCAGAAAAUUGAGCAAAGUACUGAGGAUCACGGAGGACAGAUCAGUCAACUCUGCCUGUGAUAUUCAUAAACAAAGUCUUCAUAGAAGAGGUGUGAAAGAUUGAUGCCGGCCACUUAAUUUACCUCAGAUGGUGCAAUCCAGUUUGUGCCAGUGGAUGACCUCCACUUGGAAGAUACAGGAUUUUUUAGAAAAUAAUACCAACUGGAAGAGAACAGAAGGAAGGCAAGAAAUUUCUCUUUCGUCUUUAUUGUGUCCAAGUGAAAA